UACAGAGGCCUCGAGCGUUAGGCGGAAUCACUGGGCUUAAAGCGUGUGUAGGCGGACUUCUAAGUACCUUGUGAAAUCCCACGGCUCACCCGUGGAACUGCUUGGUAUACUGGUUGUCUUGAGCCUUCUAGGGGCGAGUGGAACAAAUGGUGGAGCGGUGAAAUGCGUAGAUAUCGGGAGGAACACCAAUGGCGAAGGCAGCUCGCUGGGACGGUACUGACGCUGAGACGCGAAAGCGUGGGGAGCAAACAGG
rnacentral:rRNA from 1 species